AGCAGCCGCGGUAAUUCCAGCUCCAAUAGCGUAUAUUAAAGUUGUUGCAGUUAAAAAGCUCGUAGUUGAAUUUCGGGGUUCAUACGUUGGUCGGGCUUUUUGGUCUGUACUAGCGUAAUGGAUUCCUACCUUCUGAAUAACCGGCAUGUCAUUAAUUUGGUGCGCCGGGGAAGCAGGACUGUUACCUUGAAAAAUUAGAGUGCUUAAAGCAGGCUAUCGCCUGAAUACAUUAGCAUGGAAUAAUGAAAUAGGACGGCAUGGUUCUAUUUUGUUGGUUUCUAGGAUCACCGUAAUGAUUAAUAGGGAUAGUUGGGGGCAUUAGUAUUCAAUUGUCAGAGGUGAAAUUCUUGGAUUUAUUGAAGACUAACUUCUGCGAAAGCAUUUGCCAAGGAUGUUUUCAUUAAUCAAGAACGAAAGUUAGGGGAUCGAAGACGAUCAGAUACCGUCGUA
rnacentral:rRNA from 1 species